rnacentral:snoRNA from 1 species
AGCCCAUGAUGAGAGCAUCUUCUCAAUAAAUACUUGUAUCUCUCUCAUGCAUUAUAUAGUGUUUCUAAAUUCAUCUGCACAAAAGAAGAAAUAUCAUUCCUUAGUUU